AUAACAGCAUCCAAGAGAAGGAACUGACUGGGAAGUUUGAGAAUACUUCUGAAUACAAUGAAAGUUCUCCUUCUACUCACAGCCAUCUUGGCAGUAACCAUUGGUUUCCCGGUCUCUCAAGACAAGGAAAGAGAAGAACGAAGUGUCAGUGGGAGUGAUGAACUACCUUCACAGUUUUUUUUGCCCCCUUACCAGUAUCCAUUUCACCCAUAUCCACCAUUCCUAUAUCCAUGGUGGGCCUAUUUUUAUCCUCCUAUUCCAGUACCUGCAUCUGUCUCUACAACUACCCCUCUUAAUGAGCAUUAAACAAGAAAGAGAAGUCCCAGUGCAAUUUAAGAUGAAAUAGGUGGUCACUGUAAAAUUGAAUGUGAGCCACUUCUUUGAAGAAUCAAUAUUCCUGUUAAGCAAAGAAAAAUAAAUGUGAUUGAAGUAGCA